CUGCCGAACCUGAGUUCUUUCAGAACUCAGCCUCGCACACAAGAAGCCUCCCAAGCCUUCCAAACCUCUCCAAACAUGCACAACAAGCAACCAACCUCUCAAACACAUGCAUAUACCCUUAUUCAUGCAUAUAGGGGCUUAGAACUAGCUCAAACCCCCAAAAACAACACAAAUACACACAUAUGGCUUAUGAUCAACAUAAACCCUAACCAUCAUGAUCCACUCUAAAACAUGCAUAAAACUCCCUUAAAACCCUCAAAACAUACUUAAAACAUAAGGAGAGGUGAGGAUCCAUGCUUACCUCUUGAAGAUCGAGAGGAUUGAUGGUCCAAACUCGGUGAUGUCAAGAAAACUAGAUCCGAAGUCUCCAAGCCUCAAACCUUUGCUCUUUAACUCAAAAUCUUCAAAACCAAACUAAAAACUCAUGAAAACAUGAGGGAUUUAACGAAAAAGCAUAAAAACAACCAAAGGAGAGCAUGAACUCACCUAUGCCCGAAAAGAGAGAGAAAACUCACCUCCAUUCCGGACAAAGGCCCCUUUUAUAGGUGGCCGGUCAACCACCUUCGGCGGCCAAAACUGUCUCCACAGCUCCACCAC
rnacentral:lncRNA from 1 species